UCCCAUCUGAAAUCUGUCAAAACAAAACAAAAUUUCAGAUGGGACCUUUGGUCAAAAUAGUGAAAUAUUAGUUUUUUUUUAAUUUUAAAGGUAUUUCUAGUGCAAAUAUCAUAAAUCUCGAAUGAUAUUAUCGUAUAGCAACAAGUUUCACGUUACUGUUUGGGAUUUAUUUGCCGCUUUAGAUUCAAUACUUCAGGAGACUAGAACAUGGAUAGCUUGGUGUUCAGGAAGAACAUCCCGACUGAAAUGAUACCCGUUUGGUUGGAUACACAUUUGAACGAGCAAGCUGGGGAGAAUAGUUAUGCUCCGCUUUGUAGAGGCCGACAGCAACGCCAGGAUUGCGCCAAUGCCCUCAUUAUGUUCUACGCCUUUCGCAGUCUCGGUACGACCUCCGAACCAAACCAAUCCAAUGCAUGGAUCCAAGUCGAUGCUGCCUAAACAUAUCGAUAAGAGAUCAAGCAUUCCGAUGAGCUAAAUGAGACAGAAUGGUACCAACGAAUAAAAGCCAAAUAAAACAACGGUCGAGGAAAUAUUUACUGUCGAAGGUCAACGAUGUAUAUUGCUCGCGAUUCACCCAAUUAGCUUCGGAUACGAAAUACUUGCAGUACUCGCAGAAGGAAGUUGCAUCCGCUACCGAUGAAUAUUAGGUGAUAUUAGUGUCUGUUGAAAACAAAAGAAUUGAACAAAGCUAGUUCAUAGAAACGCAUUCCUGACCUGUAUACCUUGCAUGUACAUACAUGGUGCAUGUACAUGUACCAUGGCAGUGUUGUAAAAUGUCAUUUGCAUUCGUUUGUAUAAUUUUCCCAGAACUUGUUUCAGAAGGUAGCUAUCAAUUCAUGUUGUAUGACGAACUUAUAGCGGUUAAAUGGGCCUACAAC